AGUCAAGUAAUUAAGUGCAUGUGGUGGAUGCCUUGGCAGUCAGAGGCGAUGAAAGACGUGAUAGCCUGCGAAAAGCUCCGGGGAGGCGGCAAAUAUCCUUUGAUCCGGAGAUGUCUGAAUGGGGGAACCCACCUACUUUAAGGUAGGUAUUGCAACAUGAAUACAUAGUGUUGCAAGGCGAACGAGGGGAAGUGAAACAUCUCAGUACCCUUAGGAAAAGAAAUCAAUUGAGAUUCCCUCAGUAGCGGCGAGCGAACGGGGAUCAGCCCAUUAAGUUAUGUGUGUUUUAGUGGAACGCUCUGGGAAGUGCGAACGUAGAGGGUGAUAUUCCCGUACACGAAAGGGCACACAUAAUGAUGACGAGUAGGGCGAGGCACGUGAAACCUUGUCUGAAUAUGGGGGGACCAUCCUCCAAGGCUAAAUACUCCUGACUGACCGAUAGUGAACCAGUACCGUGAGGGAAAGGCGAAAAGAACCCCUGUGAGGGGAGUGAAAUAGAUCCUGAAACCGCAUGCA
rnacentral:rRNA from 1 species